GACGAACGCUGGCGGCGCGCCUAACACAUGCAAGUCGAACGGAGCUGCGAGAAGCUUGCUUUUCUUAGCUUAGUGGCGAACGGGUGAGUAACGCGUGAGUAACCUGCCCUGGAGUGGGGGACAACAGUUGGAAACGACUGCUAAUACCGCAUAAGCCCACGAUCCGGCAUCGGAUUGAGGGAAAAGGAUUUAUUCGCUUCAGGAUGGACUCGCGUCCAAUUAGCUAGUUGGUGAGGUAACGGCCCACCAAGGCGACGAUUGGUAGCCGGACUGAGAGGUUGAACGGCACAAUUGGGACUGAGACACGGCCCAGACUCCUAGGGGGGGCAGCAGGGGGGGAUAUUGCAAAAUGGGGGAAACCCUGAUGCAGCGACGCCGGGGGGAGGAAGAAGGUUUUCGGUUUGUAAACCCCUGUCUGUAGGGACGAUAAGGACGGUACCUAAAAAGAAAGCCCCGGCUAACUACGU
rnacentral:rRNA from 1 species